AUUUUAGGUCUCUCUGCACAUUCCGUCAAGAGUCCCACGACCCAGUCAGGAAUAUUUUCGGGUUCCUUUAAACGAGGUUGUCCUUGCUGCUAUUCGUCCAGAGAUGAUAACCACAGACAGUUCAGUGCAACUAUACAAUCCAUAUAAGAGGGAAUGCUUUUUUCCAAC
rnacentral:lncRNA from 1 species